CCCGGAAAAGCCUGUUUAGGCUACCCGAUUUAAGCGAGGAAAAGAUUUUAUUUAUAUGUCUUAUUCCUUUUUAUUUCCUUUGUUUUUGUUUUUCAUUUUGUUGUCGCCGAAACCGAGCCAAAGCCGCACCCCUUCCUUCUUCUCCCCGACGCCGACGCGCGCUUCACCUUCUUUGCCCUAACCGGCGCCGACGCCGGCGGUUUCUUCCUCUCCACAGCCGAGUGAUCUUGUGCCCUAGAGAGCAGCAGCAAGUCACCACCGCCGCACCUCCCCGUUGCACACUGCGAGCCGAUCUUUGCCCUCUACCUUGCGGACUCGUGCCCUAGAUCGCCGGGAGCCAGGAGCGUGCGUCGAUGAUAGAGGUCUCCGAUCAAGAAGGGGAAUCCUAGCUCUAGUCUUGACCCUUUCUCCUCAUCGUCGGCUUGGAUUUACCGUGCCGUGCCCUAGCUCCAAGCUUCGGCUCCUCUUUAGGGCAAGGGUGUUUCGGUAAGGUAACAACAAGUGGAGAAGAAUUACAGGAGGUGAAGUUCUGUUCUAUUCUGUGGUGUAUAUUUCUUGAUCACCUGAGAUGUUAUCUUCAUCUGAUCAGUGGGAAGGAUUUUAGCAGUGAGGCUCUAUUACUGUGAUGCUGGAAUUGUGAUUAUUGAGGUGUUAUCCAGCAACUUUCCCUAACCGGUAGCAACAUCUUUGAUUGUGAUCUAUUGGUGAUCACCUUGGAUUUGGUGGACACAGGACGUUGACGAGAGACGAGCAUCUUGACGUUGGAUUUGACUGGAUUGGAUCUACAGUU